GGGGAUUUAGCUCAGUGGUAGAGUGUUCUUAGCAUGUGUGAGGGCCUGGGUUUGAUUCCCAGCCCCA
rnacentral:tRNA from 1 species